rnacentral:lncRNA from 1 species
CCCUUACUCGACUACGGACUAAGACUUUCUCCUGAAGUUUCUACGAGCUAGAAAGUAUGACGUGCAGAACGCCUUCAAGAAUGUCAAGAAGUACUUCAAAGUUCGAAGGGAGUACCCGGACAUGUUCGAAGAACUGACGCCUUCCAAAGUGCCUUUCGACGAUGCCUGUCGCAAGCAUCGUCUGGUCACGGUGUCCCGGAAGACAGAUCCCAAGGGGAGAGCUGUGAUAAAGUACAGGACAGGUGCCUGGAACACGGACAUAUGCUCGCUGAAUGACUUCUUCAGGAUCACCUUAGUACACGCCGAACAUGCCCUGCUUCGAGAAGAAUUUCAGAUCAGGGGCAUCGUGGCCAUUCUAGACAUCAGGGGCCUCAGCGUCUUCCACAUUACUCACUACACGCCUUCAGCUAUAAAAAA